UAUCUAAGUAACAUCUCUCUAGAGUAUCUCUAGUCACACUGCUUUAUAUGUGACUAGAGAUACUCUAGAGAGAUGUGAGUUAGA
rnacentral:pre_miRNA from 1 species